AUGUUGGAGGUGUUGAUCAUGUACGCUCUAGAGUGCCAAGUUAAGGAGCUUCUGCUCAACGCUGGUCACAUUGAAGAUUCCCCACUUACCCUAGAUAUGCCUCUCCUCUCUCGUCACUUGAAGAUCUUACACCUUGAACAUGUUACAUGCUCCGCUCUGAAUUUCUCGGGCUGCCCGGUCUUAGACGAACUAAAGUUGCAAGGUUGUGACAUUUAUGCGCGGAAGAUAUCAUCCAAAUCACUAAAGCGUCUCUACAUCACCAAUUCUUGUAUGGUCCCUGAGGAUUUCCACAUUCAGAUUUUUGCUCCAGAUCUUAACUCAUUGCAAAUUGAUUAUUUUGAUGGUGUGACCCCUUUCCUUGAGGAUAUGCCAUCUCUAGUAACGGCCUAUAUUGGGCUUGGCCAUGAGUGCCAUUAUUACUGUGAGAAGAACAUGAGGGGUUGUGAUUUUCGUGAAUGUGGUUGUCAUACUUAUCCCAUAGAGGGAGAUGUGCUUCUCAAUGGUUUGUCCAAUGUUGUCAAUUUGGAGUUGAUAGCUCAACCUGUAAUGCUUAUCUACCGAUGGGACUUAGAACGGUGCCCCCUAUUUGGCGCAUUAAAGACUCUGCUCCUCAAUGAGUGGUUCACGACUAUUGAUCUAGUUUGCAUUCUCCGACACUCUCCACUCCUUGAGAUGCUCACUCUUCAGCUUGGUAACACCGAGAACCUUGUAGGAGCAACAGCAGUCCCAGAAACAACAAAACAAUCAUUUGUCUGCGCCCACCUAGAGGUUGUGAAGAUUGAAUGUACAAAGGUUGAUGCGGGAAUUCGCAAAAUUUUGAAUAUCCUGAGUACAUGUGGUGUGCAUUAUAAGAAAAUCAGCAUCAAGGAAAAAUGUUCUUUCUCAAAUUUUUUCAGUUUCCAAAAGCAUGGGGGGCUUCUAGCACGGGUGGCGCCUGAGGUGUGUGCUCAGCCAUGA
rnacentral:rRNA from 1 species